rnacentral:rRNA from 1 species
GACAGAGGCCACGAACGUUGUUCGGAAUUACUGGGCAUGAAGCGCGCGUAGGCGGCUGGGUCCGUCCGAUGUGAAAGCCCCCGGCUCAACCGGGGAAGUGCAUCGGAUACAGCCCGGCUUGAGGACGGUUGGGGUGAGUGGAACUCCUGGUGGAGCGGUGAAAUGCGUAGAUAUCAGGAGGAACACCGGUGGCGAAGGCGGGAUCCUGGGCCAGUACUGACGCUGAGGAGCGAAAGCGUGGGGAGCAAACAGG